rnacentral:rRNA from 1 species
UACGUAGGGUGCAAGCGUUACUCGGAAUUACUGGGCGUAAAGCGUGCGCAGGCGGUUUUGUAAGUCUGUCGUGAAAUCCCCGGGCUCAACCUGGGAAUUGCGAUGGAGACUGCAAGGCUAGAAUCUGGCAGAGGGGGGUAGAAUUCCACGUGUAGCAGUGAAAUGCGUAGAGAUGUGGAGGAACACCGAUGGCGAAGGCAGCCCCCUGGGUCAAGAUUGACGCUCAUGCACGAAAGCGUGGGGAGCAAACAGG